rnacentral:ncRNA from 1 species
CACCUGGUUGAUCCUGCCAGUAGUCAUAUGCUUGUCUCAAAGAUUAAGCCAUGCAUGUCUAAGUAUAAGCUUUAAACGGCGAAACUGCGAAUGGCUCAUUAAAACAGUUAUAGUUUAUUUGGUGAUCGAUUACUAUUUGGAUAACCGUAGUAAUUCUAGAGCUAAUACAUGCGUCAAGGCCCGACUUCGGAAGGGCUGCGUUUAUUAGAUACAGAACCAACCUAGGCUCCGCCUAGUCCUUGUUGGUGAUUCAUAAUAACCCGGCGAAUCGCACGGCUUGUCCGGCGAUGGACCAUUCAAGUUUCUGACCUAUCAGCUAUGGACGGUAGGGUAUUGGCCUACCGUGGCGUUGACGGGUAACGGGGAAUUAGGGUUCGAUUCCGGAGAGGGAGCCUGAGAAACGGCUACCACAUCUAAGGAAGGCAGCAGGCGCGCAAAUUACCCAAUCCUGAUACAGGGAGGUAGUGACAAGAAAUAACAAUACAGGGCAAUUCUGUCUUGUAAUUGGAAUGAGUAGAUUUUAAAUCUCUUUACGAGUAUCAAUUGGAGGGCAAGUCUGGUGCCAGCAGCCGCGGUAAUUCCAGCUCCAAUAGCGUAUAUUAAAGUUGUUGCGGUUAAAAAGCUCGUAGUUGGAUUUCUGCCUUGGGCGACCGAUCCACCUUUCCUACGGGAUUGGUUGGUAUCAGGUUUGACCUUGGCUUUUUCUUGGGAUUCGUGCUCACGUACUUAACUGUGCGUAGACCGUGUUCCAAGACUUUUACUUUGAGGAAAUUAGAGUGUUCAAGCAGGCUUAUGCCA